GCGGAGGAAAAGAAACCAACCGGGAUUGCCUCAGUAACGGCGAGUGAAGCGGCAACAGCUCAAAUUUGAAAGCCCGCGGGCGUUGUAAUUUGCAGGCGGAUGUUUUGGGGCGGGCGCUGUCUACGUUCCUUGGAACAGGACGCCGCAGAGGGUGAGAGCCCCGUGCGAUGGCGCCUCCAACCGCGUAAAACUCCGCCGACGAGUCGAGUUGUUUGGGAAUGCAGCUCCAAGUGGGUGGUAAAUUCCAUCUAAAGCUAAAUACUGGCGAGAGACCGAUAGCGAACAAGUACAGUGAUGGAAAGAUGAAAAGCACUUUGAAAAGAGAGUGAAACAGCACGUGAAAUUGUUGAAAGGGAAGGGUAUGCGAUUAGCGGCCAGCAGGAGGUGCCUUCUCGUGAAAAGGCCGUGCACCGUCUUCGGACACCGUGCGCGGAGAUGGCGAGGGGGCGCCUGAGGUCUGCGACUCGAGGUUGCUGGCGUAAUGAUUGCAUACCACCCGUCUUGAACCACGGA
rnacentral:rRNA from 1 species